rnacentral:rRNA from 1 species
UAGAAUUCCACGUGUAGCGGUGAAAUGCGUAAAGAUGUGGAGGAAUACCGGUGGCGAAGGCGGCCCUCUGGACAGAUACUGACGCUGAGAUGCGAAAGCGUGGGGAGCAAACAGGAUUAGAUACCCUGGUAGUCCACGCUGUAAACGAUGUCGAUUUGGAGUUUGUUGCCUAGAGUGAUGGGCUCCGAAGCUAACGCGAUAAAUCGACCGCCUGGGGAGUACGGCCGCAAGGUUAAAACUCAAAUGAAUUGACGGGGGCCCGCACAAGCGGUGGAGCAUGUGGUUUAAUUCGAUGCAACGCGAAGAACCUUACCUGGUCUUGACAUCCACAGAAUCUUGCAGAGAUGUGAGAGUGCCUUCGGGAACUGUGAGACAGGUGCUGCAUGGCUGUCGUCAGCUCGUGUUGUGAAAUGUUGGGUUAAGUCCCGCAACGAGCGCAACCCUUAUCCUUUGUUGCCAUCGGUUAGGCCGGGAACUCAAAGGAGACUGCCGUUGAUAAAGCGGAGGAAGGUGGGGACGACGUCAAGUCAUCAUGGCCCUUACGACCAGGGCUACACACGUGCUACAAUGGCGUAUACAAAGGGAGGCGACCUCGCGAGAGCAAGCGGACCUCAUAAAGUACGUCUAAGUCCGGAUUGGAGUCUGCAACUCGACUCCAUGAAGUCGGAAUCGCUAGUAAUCGUGAAUCAGAAUGU